rnacentral:rRNA from 1 species
GGGGAAUUUUCCGCAAUGGGGGAAACCCUGACGCAGCGACGCCGCGUGGAGGAUGACGGCCUUCGGGUUGUAAACUCCUGUCAGAGGUGAAGAAGCCCGCAAGGGUUGACGGUAACCUCAGAGGAAGCCCCGGCCAACUACGUGCCAGCAGCCGCGGUAAUACGUAGGGGGCAAGCGUUGCUCGGAAUUACUGGGCGUAAAGGGUGUGUAGGCGGCUGAGCAAGUCAUGGAUGAAAUCCCGAGGCUUAACCUCGGAACUGUCCUUGAUACUGCUCGGCUUGAGGGCAGUGGAGGAGAAUGGAAUUCCCGGUGGAGCGGUGAAAUGCGUAGAUAUCGGGAGGAACACCUGAGGCGAAGGCGAUUCUCUAUGCUGUUCCUGACGCUGAAACACGAAAGCUAGGGGAGCGAAAGGGAUUAGAUACCCCUGUAGUC